AAAUAAAGUAGUUUCUUGAGAUGAAAUCUAGUCUUGGUGAAGAUGCUAUGAACAUCGUUGAAACAACACAGGAUUUACGAUAUCGCAUAAACCUAGUUUAUAAAGCAAUGGUAAGAUUUGAGAGGGUUGACUCUAAUUUUGAAAGAUGUCCUACUGUGGAUAAAGUGCUAUCCACAGCAUUGCAUGCUACAGAAAAAUCUUUCAUGAAAUGAAGAGUCAAUUGAUACAGCAAAUUUUGUUGUUAUCUUAUUUUACAGAAAUUGCCACAGUCACCUCAACCUUCAGCAACCACCAACUUGAUCAAUCAGCAGCCAAUAACGUGAAGUCAUGACCAUUCACCAGCAAAAAGUUUAUGAUUCACCAAAAUAUUAGAUGAUCAUUAACAUUUUUAGCAAUAAUGUAUUUGUCAUUAAGGUAUGUACUUUUUUUAGACAUAAUACUAUUGCAUACUUAGUACACUACAGUACAGUGUACACAUAACUUUUAUAUGCAUGGGGAAGCCAAAAGAAUUCAUAGGACUUGCUUUAUUGUGAUAUUCACUUUAUUGCAAUGGUCUGAAAACAAACCCACAAUAUCUCGGAGGUAUGUUUCUCCUGGAGUAAAAAUUUUGAUAUAAGUAAAUAAUGAUGAUAAUUGAGGAUUUGUUUGUAUUUUUAAAUGGCACACCACCCAAUUAUCCUAUCAAGAUGUAUACUGAUGCUCAAAACAGUAAAAAAUUGCUGUUCCUUAAUUUGAAGUGGAUAAUGUAUUAUUUCCUUAAGAAUCUUUAAUUAAUUUAGUUUAUUAAGUGGUAGAGAAUAUAAUUUUUAAAGUAUUAAUUUAAUUGUCCAACAUUAUCGGUGUUAACCAAAGUACACCGUAAUUUCUAUAUGUUCUAAAACAGGUACUCAACACUUUUUAUAUUAAAAAAAAUCUCCAUGGAUAAUUACUUGAAGGACUGCUCAUUUAAAUGCAAAUCAAUUCUCUUGAGAUAAAGGGCAUUCAACAGUUAAAUACCACUCUCCGAAAAGAACUUUAUUCUGAAAUAAUAUAUUCAUUAGACAUUAAGGUUAUUAUGUGGCUCCAGUAGCCUGAGUUAAUAAUAAGGAUUAAAAGCCAUUAACUCUAUGUAUUUUAUCCAUUAUAUUAUUUCCAUUUACUUUGAAUCUAAAAAAAAGAAUUAAUGUCUGCUUUUUCUAAUAGAAUUAACUUUUUCAAUAAGUAUUAAAUAACAAUUCCACAUAAUAUUUUAUUUUAAAAUUGAUUUUUAUACUCCUUUGAAUCCUUGAGAGUUUUCCCUAAUGACUGUGCUUAAUACCUGGGUGAUGGGUUGUUCUGUGUAGCAAACCACCAUAGCAAACCACGUUUACCUACAUAACAAACCUGCACAUCCUGUACAUGUACCCUGGAACUUCAAAUAUGAGUUGAUAUAUAUUAAAAAAUAAACUUUGUACUGUCUCCCUUUCCUGCCUGUCUUGGGCCAAAUUGGGAAGUGGGCUCAGACUGUCUGCUCUCUCUGCCCCUUCCUCUUGCGUUAUUCUCCACAGUGCCCUCCUCAAGGCAGCAUGCUGCUGUACUUGUUCUUAGCUUAUUUGUAUGAAGGGCAUGUAUUAUUUUCUAUCCUAAGACCCCACCACUGCGUUUUCAACCCAUGACAUAAGCAUUUAUAUAAAUUUAUGCCUCAUAAGUGUCAUUGCAGAUACCAUAAGGUAUUUUAAACACUGGUCAUAUUACACGCGAUGGCUUACAAGAAUAAAAAUUACGUUUCUUGGAUAUUUAAAAUUUGUAAGAACCGGCCGGGCGUGGUGGCUCACGCCUGUAAUCCCAGC
rnacentral:lncRNA from 1 species